CAGCACCUCAAGUGGUCAGGAUGAUUAUUAGGCCUAAAGCAUCCGUAGCCGGCGCUGUAAGUUUUCGGUUAAAUCUGUACGCUCAACGUACAGGCUGCCGGGAAUACUGCAGCGCUAGGGAGUGGGAGAGGUAGACGGUACUCGGUAGGAAGGGGUAAAAUCCUUUGAUCUAUUGAUGACCACCUGUGGCGAAGGCGGUCUACCAGAACACGUCCGACGGUGAGGGAUGAAAGCUGGGGGAGCAAACCGGAUUAGAGACCCGAGUAGUCC
rnacentral:rRNA from 1 species